rnacentral:rRNA from 1 species
GACGAACGCUGGCGGCGUGCUUAACACAUGCAAGUCGAACGGAAAGGCCCUGCUUUUGUGGGGUGCUCGAGUGGCGAACGAGUGAGUAACACGUGAGUAACCUGCCCUUGACUUUGGGAUAACUUCAGGAAACUGGGGCUAAUACCGGAUAGGAGCUCCUGCUGCAUGGUGGGGGUUGGAAAGUUUCGGCGGUUGGGGAUGGACUCGCGGCUUAUCAGCUUGUUGGUGGGGUAGUGGCUUACCAAGGCUUUGACGGGUAGCCGGCCUGAGAGGGUGACCGGCCACAUUGGGACUGAGAUACGGCCCAGACUCCUACGGGAGGCAGCAGUGGGGAAUAUUGCACAAUGGGCGGAAGCCUGAUGCAGCAACGCCGCGUGCGGGAUGACGGCCUUCGGGUUGUAAACCGCUUUCGCCUGUGACGAAGCGUGAGUGACGGUAAUGGGUAAAGAAGCACCGGCUAACUACGUGCCAGCAGCCGCGGUGAUACGUAGGGUGCGAGCGUUGUCCGGAUUUAUUGGGCGUAAAGGGCUCGUAGGUGGUUGAUCGCGUCGGAAGUGUAAUCUUGGGGCUUAACCCUGAGCGUGCUUUCGAUACGGGUUGACUUGAGGAAGGUAGGGGAGAAUGGAAUUCCUGGUGGAGCGGUGGAAUGCGCAGAUAUCAGGAGGAACACCAGUGGCGAAGGCGGUUCUCUGGGCCUUUCCUGACGCUGAGGAGCGAAAGCGUGGGGAGCGAACAGGCUUAGAUACCCUGGUAGUCCACGCUGUAAACGGUGGGUACCAGGUGUGGGGUCCAUUCCACGGGUUCCGUGCCGUAGCUAACGCUUUAAGUACCCCGCCUGGGGAGUACGGCCGCAAGGCUAAAACUCAAAGGAAUUGACGGGGCCCCGCACAAGCGGCGGAGCAUGCGGAUUAAUUCGAUGCAACGCGUAGAACCUUACCUGGGUUUGACAUGGAUCGGGAGUGCUCAGAGAUGGGUGUGCCUCUUUUGGGGUCGGUUCACAGGUGGUGCAUGGCUGUCGUCAGCUCGUGUCGUGAGAUGUUGGGUUAAGUCCCGCAACGAGCGCAACCCUUGUUCACUGUUGCCAGCACGUUAUGGUGGGGACUCAGUGGAGACCGCCGGGGUCAACUCGGAGGAAGGUGGGGAUGACGUCAAGUCAUCAUGCCCCUUAUGUCCAGGGCUUCACGCAUGCUACAAUGGCUGGUACAGAGAGUGGCGAGCCUGUGAGGGUGAGCGAAUCUCGGAAAGCCGGUCUCAGUUCGGAUUGGGGUCUGCAACUCGACCUCAUGAAGUCGGAGUCGCUAGUAAUCGCAGAUCAGCAACGCUGCGGUGAAUACGUUCCCGGGGCU